GACGAACGCUGGCGGCGUGCUUAACACAUGCAAGUCGAGCGGUAGGGCCCUUUCGGGGGUACACGAGCGGCGAACGGGUGAGUAACACGUGGGUGACCUGCCCUCAGCUCUGGGAUAAGCCCGGGAAACUGGGUCUAAUACCGGAUAUGACUUCAUGACGCAUGUUGUGGAGUGGAAAGCCUUGUGCGGCUGAGGAUGGGCCCGCGGCCUAUCAGCUUGUUGGUGGGGUGAUGGCCUACCAAGGCGACGACGGGUAGCCGGCCUGAGAGGGCGACCGGCCACACUGGGACUGAGAUACGGCCCAGACUCCUACGGGAGGCAGCAGUGGGGAAUCUUGGACAAUGGGCGCAAGCCUGAUCCAGCCAUGCCGCGU
rnacentral:rRNA from 1 species